rnacentral:tRNA from 1 species
GCCUGGCUGGCUCAGUUGAUAGAGCAUGUGACUCUUGAUCUCAGGGUUGUGAGUUUGAGCCUCAUGUUGGGUG